rfam:Trichobilharzia regenti genome assembly, scaffold: TRE_scaffold0003523
GUACUGCUGAGGAGUCCCAAACUAAGACGAAAUGGUUGUCCAGUAC